CUUUCCUCUUUUCUUCCUUAGUUUUACCAAAAACAAAAUAAUGCCCAGACCCAGUCUUUUGAAUCUCUUUUGAUCACAAUUUAAUUUAUUUUUUAUUUGGGAUUUGAGAGGUUUUUUUUUUUUUAAAUUUUUGUUUCCAUUCUUAAAGUUUUGGAGAUAUAAAGAGAAAAACGGACCUUAGGGUUAAUUUGUGGUUAGAAAAUAAAGAGAUUUUCUUCUUCUUUUUGGUCCCAAAAUAAAGAGAUUGAUACUUCAAAAAAUAGAAAGAUUCUAAGCGUUUUUGUUUUUGAACUUUUCAUUUUGUUCCUUUUUUGCCGUUUUUACAGCUUUGAUUAUUCCCUUCUUCUUCCUUUAACCAGAAAUUUUUUGUUCUAUUGACUGCAGUACGUUGUUAAGUUGUGAAUUCCAUUGGAAAAUCUAUCUGGGUUUUCCUUAAAAUAUAAUUUCCAUUGAAUUCUAUACAUAAUUUUCCUUUAUAUAUCUGAGCCCAACUAGAAGAACCAUUUGAAGUAUUUUUUCUUUUUAAUUUUUGGUGAGUAUUUUUUUUUUGCUGUUUUAAGCUUUUAGGGUUUUGCAGCAUUUUUUAAAAAAGUAGGAGAUGGUGAGAGGCAAAAUUCAGAUUAAGCGAAUUGAAAAUGCAACGAGCCGGCAAGUCACCUUCUCUAAGCGACGAAAUGGGUUGUUGAAGAAGGCUUACGAACUAUAUGUUCUCUGCGAUGCUGAAGUAGCUGUCAUCAUAUUUUCUAAUAAAGGAAAACUCUAUGAGUUCUCAAGUUGCGACAACAUGCAAAACACCAUAGAACGAUAUCGCCAGUACAAGAAAGAUGUCCAAAGUAACACCCCUCAAAUUGAAAGAUACAGACAGCAACUAAGGCUUGAAGCAGAAAAUAUGGCCAAGAAGAUUGAGUUCCUUGAGGUUUCUAAAAGGAGAAUGUUGGGUCAAAAUCUUGGUUCUUGUUCUAUAGAUGAACUUCAAGAGGUUGAAAACCAGCUUGAACGCAGCUUAAGAAACAUUAGGGCAAGAAAGGGCUAUUUAUUCAAGGAGCAGAUACUGCAACUAAAAGCUAAGGUAUGAUAUGGCUAAACAAGUAUGCAACAGUUUCACUUCUCAAUGAGGAAAGAUAUAUGCAAGAGGAGAAUGCCAAGUUAUCUGCUAAGAACAAUGGUACAACAUGCAGCCAGCAGAACGCGGAGGUGGAGACAGAACUGUUCCUCGGGUUGCCGGAAAACCGCUGUUCCUAACAGGCAGGUCUUUGGAUAUGGAAUGAAAAUGGUAUUCCCUAUAGGAAUAAUGCUUGCUUGUACGCUAUCGCCAUUGCUACUGGUUGUGUCACUUGGAUGUAUGUAUGUAUAUAUAUAUAUAUAUAUAUAUAUCCUCGACGCUCACCCAGAAACUGGACAUCAGUGCAUGGGACAAAGCUCGAUGGGGGAAAACAGAUCUUAAUUCAAUGUCGGUUUUUUGCUGAUUACUCA